rnacentral:rRNA from 1 species
CGGUUGAUCCUGCCGGACCCUACUGCUAUCGGGGUGGGAUUAAAACAUGCGAGUCGAACGUCUCUUAAUUCGUGGUGGAGGCGCGGCGGACUGCUCAGUAACACGUGGCUAACCUACCCUUGGGACGGGAACACCCCCGGGAAACUGGGGCUAAUUCCCGAUAGGUGAGGAGGCCUGGAAUGGUUCUUCACCCAAAAGGCGUUAGAGCCAUGCUCUCUAACGUUGCCCAAGGAUGGAGCCGCGGCCGAUCAGGUAGUUGGUGAGGCAACGGCUUACCAAGCCUAUAACCGGUACGGGCCGUGAGAGCGGGAGCCCGGAGAUGGGCACUGAGACAAGGGCCCAGGCCCUACGGGGCGCAGCAGUUGCGAAAACUCCGCAAUACGCGAAAGCGUGACGGGGCUACCCCGAGUGCCGCCCGCUGAGGGCGGCUUUUCUACGGUGUAAGGAGCCGGGGGAAUAAGGAGAGGGCAAGACUGGUGUCAGCCGCCGCGGUAAUACCAGCUCUCCGAGUGGUAGGGGUGAUUAUUGGGCUUAAAGCGUUCGUAGCCGGCUUAACAAGUCUUCCGUUAAAUCCAACGAUCUAAUUGUUGGGCUGCGGGAGAUACUGUUGGGCUAGGGGGCGGGAGAGGCCGACGGUAUUCUCGGGGUAGGAGUGAAAUCUUGUAAUCCCGGGGGGACCAUCAGUGGCGAAGGCUGUCGGCUAGAACGCGCCCGACGGUGAGGGACGGAAGCUAGGGGAGCAAACCGGAUUAGAUACCCGGGUAGUCCUUGCUGUAAGCGAUGCUCGCUAGGUGUCAGACACGGUGCGACCGGGUUUGGUGCCGCAGCGAAGGCGUUAAGCUCGCCGCCUGGGAAGUACGGCCGCAAGGCUGAAACUUAAAGGAAUUGGCGGGGGAGCAC